rnacentral:rRNA from 1 species
UACGUAGGGAGCAAGCGUUGUCCGGAAUCAUUGGGCGUAAAGAGCGUGUAGGCGGCCCGAUUAGUCCGCUGUGAAAGUCCAGGGCUCAACCCUGGAAUGCCGGUGGAUACUGUCGGGCUAGAGUCCGGAAGGGGCGAGUGGAAUUCCUGGUGUAGCGGUGAAAUGCGCAGAUAUCAGGAGGAACACCAAUGGCGAAGGCAGCUCGCUGGGACGUGACUGACGCUGAGACGCGAAAGCGUGGGGAGCAAACAGG